rnacentral:rRNA from 1 species
UACAGAGGGGGCAAGCGUUGUUCGGAAUUACUGGGCGUAAAGGGCGCGUAGGCGGCCCGCUAAGUCGAACGUGAAAUCCCCGAGCUCAACUCGGGAACUGCGUCCGAUACUGGAUGGCUUGAAUCCGGGAGAGGGAUGCAGAAUUCCAGGUGUAGCGGUGAAAUGCGUAGAUAUGACAUAGAACACCAAUUGCGAAGGCAGCUGGCUACACGAGCAUUGACACUCAGGCACGAAAGCGUGGGGAUCAAACAGG